rnacentral:rRNA from 1 species
AUUGAACGCUGGCGGCAGGCUUAACACAUGCAAGUCGAGCGGGGUGAUGGUGCUUGCACUAUCACUUAGCGGCGGACGGGUGAGUAAUGCUUAGGAAUCUGCCUAUUAGUGGGGGACAACAUCUCGAAAGGGAUGCUAAUACCGCAUACGUCCUACGGGAGAAAGCAGGGGAUCACUUGUGACCUUGCGCUAAUAGAUGAGCCUAAGUCGGAUUAGCUAGUUGGUGGGGUAAAGGCCUACCAAGGCGACGAUCUGUAGCGGGUCUGAGAGGAUGAUCCGCCACACUGGGACUGAGACACGGCACAGACUCCUACGGGAGGCAGCAGUGGGGAAUAUUGGGCAAUGGGGGGAACCCUGAUCCAGCCAUGCCGCGUGUGUGAAGAAGGCCUUAUGGUUGUAAAGCACUUUAAGCGAGGAGGAGGCUCUUUUGGUUAAUACCCAAGAUGAGUGGACGUUACUCGCAGAAUAAGCACCGGCUAACUCUGUGCCAGCCGCCGCAGUAA